UACGGAGGGUGCAAGCGUUAUCCGGAUUCACUGGGUUUAAAGGGUGCGUAGGCGGGCAGGUAAGUCAGUGGUGAAAUCUUUGGGCUUAACCCGAAAACUGCCAUUGAUACUAUCUGUCUUGAAUAUUUGUGGAGGUGAGCGGAAUAUGUCAUGUAGCGGUGAAAUGCUUAGAUAUGACAUAGAACACCCAUUGCGAAAGGCAGCUCACUACGC
rnacentral:rRNA from 1 species